AGGCAGCAGUGAGGAUAUUGGUCAAUGGACGAGAGUCUGAACCAGCCAAGUAGCGUGAAGGAUGACUGCCCUAUGGGUUGUAAACUUCUUUUAUAHGGGAAUAAAGUVDKSCACGUGUGSMUUUUUGUAUGUACCDUAUGAAUAAGGAUCGGCUAACUCCGUGCCAGCAGCCGCGGUAAUACGGAGGAUCCGAGCGUUAUCCGGAUUUAUUGGGUUUAAAGGGAGCGUAGGUGGAUKGUUAAGUCAGUUGUGAAAGUUUGCGGCUCAACCGUAAAAUUGCAGUUGAWACUGGSWGUCUUGAGURCAGUWGAGGYRGGCGGAAUUCGUGGUGUAGCGGUGAAAUGCUUAYAUAUCACGA
rnacentral:rRNA from 1 species